rnacentral:snoRNA from 1 species
GACGCAAAUAUGAGGAACCUCCUGCGUGGGGAGGUCAUACAGCUUGAGAGGAAAGGCUAUUACAGGUGCGAUGCCCCUUUUGUCAGAUCCUCGAAGCCGGUGGUUUUGUUCGCUAUCCCUGAUGGUCGACAGCAGGCCAGUUUAAACUAGGCGGCAUGAUUCUGAUGAGCUUC